rnacentral:rRNA from 1 species
UACAGAGGGUGCGAGCGUUAAUCGGAAUUACUGGGCGUAAAGCGUGCGUAGACGGUUAUUUAAGUCGGAUGUGAAAGCCCCGGGCUCAACCUGGGAAUUGCAUUCGAGACUGAAUAGCUAGGGUGCGGUAGAGGGAAGCGGAAUUUCCGGUGUAGCGGUGAAAUGCGUAGAUAUCGGAAGGAACAUCAGUGGCGAAAGCGGCUUCCUGGACCAGCACCGAACGUCAGGCACGAAAGCCGUGGGGAGCAA